GACGAACGCUGGCGGCGUGCUUAACACAUGCAAGUCGAACGGAAAGGCCCUGCUUUUGUGGGGUGCUCGAGUGGCGAACGGGUGAGUAACACGUGAGUAACCUGCCCUUGACUUUGGGAUAACUUCAGGAAACUGGGGCUAAUACCGGAUAGGAGCUCCUGCUGCAUGGUGGGGGUUGGAAAGUUUCGGCGGUUGGGGAUGGACUCGCGGCUUAUCAGCUUGUUGGUGGGGUAGUGGCUUACCAAGGCUUUGACGGGUAGCCGGCCUGAGAGGGUGACCGGCCACAUUGGGACUGAGAUACGGCCCAGACUCCUACGGGAGGCAGCAGUGGGGAAUAUUGCACAAUGGGCGGAAGCCUGAUGCAGCAACGCCGCGUGCGGGAUGACGGCCUUCGGGUUGUAAACCGCUUUCGCCUGUGACGAAGCGUGAGUGACGGUAAUGGGUAAAGAAGCACCGGCUAGCUACGUGCCAGCAGCCGCGGUGAUACGUAGGGUGCGAGCGUUGUCCGGAUUUAUUGGGCGUAAAGGGCUCGUAGGUGGUUGAUCGCGUCGGAAGUGUAAUCUUGGGGCUUAACCCUGAGCGUGCUUUCGAUACGGGUUGACUUGAGGAAGGUAGGGGAGAAUGGAAUUCCUGGUGGAGCGGUGGAAUGCGCAGAUAUCAGGAGGAACACCAGUGGCGAAGGCGGUUCUCUGGGCCUUUCCUGACGCUGAGGAGCGAAAGCGUGGGGAGCGAACAGGCUUAAAUACCCUGGUAGUCCACGCUGUAAACGGUGGGUACUAGGUGUGGGGUCCAUUCCACGGGUUCCGUGCCGUAGCUAACGCUUUAAGUACCCCGCCUGGGGAGUACGGCCGCAAGGCUAAAACUCAAAGGAAUUGACGGGGCCCCGCACAAGCGGCGGAGCAUGCGGAUUAAUUCGAUGCAACGCGUAGAACCUUACCUGGGUUUGACAUGGAUCGGGAGCGCUCAGAGAUGGGUGUGCCUCUUUUGGGGUCGGUUCACAGGUGGUGCAUGGCUGUCGUCAGCUCGUGUCGUGAGAUGUUGGGUUAAGUCCCGCAACGAGCGCAACCCUUGUUCACUGUUGCCAGCACGUUAUGGUGGGGACUCAGUGGAGACCGCCGGGGUCAACUCGGAGGAAGGUGGGGAUGACGUCAAGUCAUCAUGCCCCUUAUGUCCAGGGCUUCACGCAUGCUACAAUGGCUGGUACAGAGAGUGGCGAGCCUGUGAGGGUGAGCGAAUCUCGGAAAGCCGGUCUCAGUUCGGAUCGGGGUCUGCAACUCGACCUCAUGAAGUCGGAGUCGCUAGUAAUCGCAGAUCAGCAACGCUGCGGUGAAUACGUUCCCGGG
rnacentral:rRNA from 1 species